rnacentral:lncRNA from 1 species
UGCAAAAAACUUGGGAGACAGGACGGCAGAACACACCCAGAUGGCCUGUGGGAAAUUCCCAGGCCUGCCAAUGAUGUGAGAGAGGACAUCUUGUGAAUGGGUGGGUACAGCUUGUUCUUCUGGGCAAGACAAACAGUGCAGGAUUUGAGGGAAAUGCUGAGCUACUCUCAUAAGCUGGAAAGCUCUGAGCUCUCCAUCAUAUCCUUGAAGAAGGAUCUUGGGAGUCAGGAAUGGUGGUCACUUUCUGGUGAGAGUUGAAGAGCAGUCACUGAAUGAUAGGAACUGGGCUUCUGUUCCUCCACAAAAUAUAAGUGAAUA